CAUCUAUCAGUUGAAGAACUGUUUCAUUAACAGUCCUGACAACAACGGAUACGGAAAAUCAGUGUUUGAUUCCGGAGAAAGAGCCUUAAAAACGGCUACUAGUACCAAGGUUCGCAACAGGCGCGAAAAUUAUCCAAUGCAAAUAAAUUUUUGCGAGAUAGUGAAAAGAAAUAAGCAUCCUAAACAAUUUAGUUUAGGAGUACUAAUUAUUUAUAGUUAGUUUACAAUGGUAGCGAUAUAGAUACCCGCUAGAGUAACAAUUAGAGGUCAAGUCAGGUGCCAGCAUCCGCGGUAAUACCUGCUCUAAUAGUCUAUAAUAAAAUUGUUGUGGUUAAAACGCUCGUAGUCAAUUCAUGAGGGUGAUCGUGAUAGUCGAUUUUAUUUUGUAUACAUGUUGUUAUUUUAAUGAUAAUGUGUAUAUCCGCUCACCCGGGCCUUUAUAGGUAAAAAUGUUAAUCUCAGCAUAAGCUUUAAUCUUCCUCCUAAAUUUCAAAAAGAUAGGAAGAAAGGGUUGGAGUCUCCAUGUGGCUAUCAAGUCAUUUCUCGUUUCUCAACUGUGACUAAAUUAAAUCGCUUAAGGCAUGAUUUGUUAAUAUUCCUUUUUCGGAAGGUUUAUUUCUGUGAUGCAAUAUAAUGGAGCAUAGUACCCAUUUUCUAGAUAGUUUCAUCUAUUUAGAUUAGAUAAUAGAACUAGGUUCAAGUUCUCAGUAUUUGUCGAUCAGGGGUGAAAUCCGUAUAGUCAACAACGACUUCCGAAAGCGAAAGCAGGGAGCCAGAACUGGUUUAUUGAUCAGGAGCUAGAGUCAAGGGAGCAAAGAUGAUUAGAUACCGUCGUAGUCUUGACUAUAAACUAUACAAAUUAGAGCUUGUAUAAAGCCUUGUUAUUAGAUUUAUACAUGAUCCCCGAGAAAUCAUAAAUUUUUGUGUUCCAGGGGAAGUAUAUUCGCAAGAAUGAAACUUAAAGGAAUUGACGGAAAUUCACCACCAGGAGUGGAGUUUGCGGCUUAAUUCGACCCAACGCGUGAAAACUUACCAAAUCCGAAUUAUAGUAAGAUUGACAGGUUAAUGACUUUUCUUGAUUUAUAAAAGAGUGGUGCAUGGUCGUUCUCAGUUCGUGGAUUAAUCUGUCUACUUAAUUGUGUUAACGAGCGAGAUCUUAAUUAACUAAUUAGUAUCGAGUAAUUCUAACCAGUUUAGAAUCAAAAUUGAGAAUAACUAUUAAAAUAGUUUUUUCUUCUUAGUAAAACCUCGUUCGAUUUACAACAGAGCCAGGAAGUAAGGCUAUAACAGAU
rnacentral:rRNA from 1 species